UGGUGAUGGUGUGGACAACUUAACAACAUAGAUUUAAAACUGUCCCAAGCCUAGUAAAAGUUUUCUUUUCCUUUCUGGCAGAAGCUCAAUAUAUCACUUCUUAACUU